AAGAAAUUCAAAGAUUAAAAAAUAAGGAGUGAACAUGGUCAAUGACGUAAUUCCCAUUUACCAUAGCUUGAACUUGCUUCAUCAAUAUAAAUCAUUUCCCGAAAUUCUCUUAUAACACUUAGCUAUAAAAGGGUGUCUUAAUUUGAAAUAACCUCAUUACAAGACCAAAUACACUUACCCACAUGUGUUCUAAAUAUUGUCGCGUCUACAAGUAAUUCAAUUAGAACAACCAGGAACCACAAUACUAAAAAACCUUAAUUGUAAACCUUAAAAUAAUCAAAUUCAACAAUUAGAAUAAAUUAGAACAAAUUAUAUAAAAUUGAUAUAGGGAAAGUGUGAAAUAUACCUUUUAAGUGUUUAAUGUGGGUGGUGAUAGUGACGAGUGGUGGCAGUGGCAACCGAAAUAGGAAAAGAAAGCCACAGAUGGAGGCAUUGUCGUAGUGGGGAGAGCGGGGGGGGUGGGUAUUGGCAGAGAUAGUGUCUUAGGCGGCAGGAAAAGAGAGAAAGUUGGGCAAUGAGGGGUUUCAGUUGUGGCUGAGGGAAGAGAAUGAGAUGAGAGGGAAAAAUAGAAAAGAAACUAG
rnacentral:lncRNA from 1 species